UACGGGGGGGGCAAGCGUUGUUCGGAAUUACUGGGCGUAAAGGGCUCGUAGGCGGCCAGCUAAGUCAGACGUGAAAUCCCUCGGCUUAACCGGGGAACUGCGUCUGAUACUGGAUGGCUAGAGUUUGGGAGAGGGAUGCGGAAUUCCAGGUGUAGCGGUGAAAUGCGUAGAUAUCUGGAGGAACACCGGUGGCGAAGGCGGCAUCCUGGACCAACACUGACGCUGAGGAGCGAAAGCCAGGGGAGCAAACGGG
rnacentral:rRNA from 1 species